GUGGGGAAUAUUGCACAAUGGGGGAAACCCUGAUGCAGCGACGCCGCGUGAGUGAAGAAGUAUUUCGGUACGUAAAGCUCUAUCAGCAAGGAAGAAAAUGACGGUACUUGACUAAGAAGCCCCGGCUAACUACGUGCCAGCAGCCGCGGUAAUACGUAGGGGGCAAGCGUUAUCCGGAUUUACUGGGUGUAAAGGGAGCGUAGACGGUAUGGUAAGUCAGAUGUGAAAGCCCGGGGCUCAACCCCGGGACUGCAUUUGAAACUAUCAGACUAGAGUGCAGUAGAGGUAAGUGGAAUUCCUAGUGUAGCGGUGAAAUGCGUAGAUAUUAGGAGGAACACCAGUAGCGAAGGCGGCUUACUGGACUGUAACUGACGUUGAGGCUCGAAAGCGUGGGGAGCAAACAGGAUUAGAAACCCCUGUAGUCC
rnacentral:rRNA from 1 species